rfam:Eubacterium sp. CAG:252 genomic scaffold, scf110
GAAAAUAUAAUGGGGUGCUUGUGUAUGACAGGCUGAGAGUAAGCAGCAGCUUUAACCCAGUAACCUGAUGUGGAUAAUGCCAACGUAGGGAGAUAAAGAAGUCGCGGGU